CAAGUCGAGCGGUAGCACAGGGGAGCUUGCUCCCUGGGUGACGAGCGGCGGACGGGUGAGUAAUGUCUGGGAAACUGCCUGAUGGAGGGGGAUAACUACUGGAAACGGUAGCUAAUACCGCAUAACGUCUCAAGACCAAAGAGGGGGACCUUCGGGCCUCUUGCCAUCAGAUGUGCCCAGAUGGGAUUAGCUAGUAGGUGGGGUAAUGGCUCACCUAGGCGACGAUCCCUAGCUGGUCUGAGAGGAUGACCAGCCACACUGGAACUGAGACACGGUCCAGACUCCUACGGGAGGCAGCAGUGGGGAAUAUUGCACAAUGGGCGCAAGCCUGAUGCAGCCAUGCCGCGUGUGUGAAGAAGGCCUUCGGGUUGUAAAGCACUUUCAGCGAGGAGGAAGGUGGUGAGCUUAAUACGUUCAUCAAUUGACGUUACUCGCAGAAUAAGCACCGGCUAACUCCGUGCCAGCAGCCGCGGUAAUACGGAGGGUGCAAGCGUUAAUCGGAAUUACUGGGCGUAAAGCGCACGCAGGCGGUUUGUUAAGUCAGAUGUGAAAUCCCCGGGCUCAACCUGGGAACUGCAUUUGAAAACUGGCAAGCUAGAGUCUCGUAGAGGGGGGUAGAAUUCCAGGUGUAGCGGUGAA
rnacentral:rRNA from 1 species